ACUCCUACGGGAGGCAGCAGUGAGGAAUAUUGGUCAAUGGACGAGAGUCUGAACCAGCCAUCCCGCGUGCAGGAUGACGGCCCUAUGGGUUGUAAACUGCUUUUCUACUCCAAGAAACCACCUUACGUGUAAGGUGUUGCCGGUAGAGUAGGAAUAAGCAUCGGCUAACUCCGUGCCAGCAGCCGCGGUAAUACGGAGGAUGCAAGCGUUAUCCGGAUUCAUUGGGUUUAAAGGUGCGCAGGUGGGCUUGUAAGUCAGUGGUGAAAUGCUGCCGCUUAACGGUAGAACUGCCAUUGAUACUGCAAGUCUUGAAUAUGGUUGAGGUAGGCGGAAUGUGUUGUGUAGCGGUGAAAUGCAUAGAUAUGACACAGAACGCCGAUUGCGAAGGCAGCUUACUAAGCCAUAAUUGACGCUGAGGCACGAAAGCGUGGGGAGCGAACAGGAUUAGAUACCCUGGUAGGUG
rnacentral:rRNA from 1 species